rnacentral:rRNA from 1 species
UACGUAGGGGGCAAGCGUUGUCCGGAUUUAUUGGGCGUAAAGAGCGUGUAGGCGGCCUGGAAGGUCAGCUGUGAAAACUCGAGGCUCAACCUCGAGACGUCGGUUGAAACCACCUGGCUAGAGUCCGGAAGAGGAGUGUGGAAUUCCCGGUAUGAGCGGUGAAAUGCGCAGAUAUCGGGAAGAACACCCGUGGCGAAGGCGGCACUCUGGGACGGUACUGACGCUGAGACGCGAAAGCGUGGGAGCGAACGAGG